rnacentral:rRNA from 1 species
GACGAACGCUGGCGGCGUGCUUAACACAUGCAAGUCGAACGGAAAGGCCCUGCUUUUGUGGGGUGCUCGAGUGGCGAACGCGUGAGUAACACGUAAGUAACCUGCCCUUGACUUUGGGAUAACUUCAGGUAACUGGGGCUAAUAUCGUAUAGGAGCUCCUGCUGCAUGGUGGGGGUUGGAACGUUUCGGCGGUUGGGGAUGGACUCGCGGCUUAUAAGCUUGUUGGUGGGGUAGUGGCUUACCAAGGCUUUGACGGGUAGCCGGCCUGUGAGGGUGACCGGCCACAUUGGGACUGAGAUACGGCCCAGACUCCUACGGGAGGCAGCAGUGGGGAGUAUUGCACAAUGGGCGGAAGCCUGAUGAAGCAACGCCGCGUGCGGGAUGACGGCCUUCGGGUUGUAAACCGCUUUCGCCUGUGACGAAGCGUGAGUGACGGUAAUGGGUAAAGAAGCACCGGCUAACUACGUG